UUUUAAAUUAUCAUUUGCUUUAGCUAGUGGCGGUUCCAGAACUUUUUAUCCUGGUGAGAUCGAGGCCGAUUAUUUUUAAGAAGUGUAGAAUUAUCAUUUUACCUGAGUAAAGGGGCAUUCUUUCAAAAAAAUUAAUUUUAAACGUAAAAUGAAGCCAAGACAUUUUGGGACUUUGGUCCCAGGCCAACGCUAGUCUACUCUUGGCGUCAUCACUGGUUUCAGCAAAUGUAUAGAUUUUUAGGUAUCGGUAUAUUUU